rnacentral:lncRNA from 1 species
UACACUCUCCUUCCUCUAUAUCAUUAGCCGCCACCAAUCACCCCACCGGUAAUCGCUUCGUCGCCCGUGCCACCCCAAAGCCGACGUUGACCACCGUUGACCACCGACCGGAAAUCGCCUCCACCGUCCGGAGUCAGCCAAAAGACGUGAAACCACCAUGUUUCUUCUCCACUUUUCCUCCUUUACAUCAUCAUAAUAAGAUCGUACUACCAUUUCCGCCCCGCCAUUACCCCAUAGAAAUACCUAUCCAUUCGGCCCUUCUCUGAUUACUUUGACCUUAGUAUCGGCAUACCUCUAUGCAUAUAUCAUUAGAUAGAUAUGAAAAAAAUCUAUUCAAUGAUAUAAGUAUUAGGGUAUUUCGAAGUCAUCAAGACCCGGUCAAAUCGCUGUUGACUAGCCAUAUCUUGCUAAAACACCUUCUAGUGUUUCACUUAGAGGUCAAUAGGUAAUUUUAGUAGGUAAAUAACAUAAUUUAGAGGGAUGUAAAAGAAAAAAAAUAACUGAAAAAGAUUCUCUGCAUUUCUAUAUAACAGGACACUCUUCACACCUAUUAAAACCAUUCAUUCUCACUCUCACUCUCACGCAAGACACACUCAUCUUUUCACAAUCUGAGAUUUCAAAAUACAAAUUCACUCUCAUAUCCACAGAAUACCCAACAGACUCUCACUCAUCUCUAUUCAUUCUCACACAUUCAUCUUCAUUCACUGCACUCACACAACAACAUCUGGAAUUCAAAAACAUGGAGAUCUGAAAAGAAAACCAAAGUUCUGAAGAAAAGCAUGAAAAAACAAUAGAGUUCUAGGUUAGCUUUCACUCAAAACAGUUCAUAAGUUGUAGCUGUUUCGAUUUGUUGUAUUCUCUCUUGCAUUUUUGGGUUUCGAAGUUGAUCUAGCUUUGAUUACUGGUUGUUUGCUGCUGUUCUCUGUCAACUAGUAGCUGAGCUUCAGUUGUAGUUGUUCUCAGCCUUUAUUUGGCUAUUUUAAGACUUGUUUGUUGCUGUGUAGGUAUGUUCAAACACCUCUGUAGCUUUAAAUUGAAAUCAUGAGUGAAAUUAAAGAUGUUUAAUGCCUAAUUCUAUAGAUCUAACAUGUUUAAUGAUUUAAUUUAUUUGAAUCUCUCUCCCUAUCAAUCUCUGAAGUUAUGAACGUGUAAAUUUGCAUUGAUUAGUGUCAAUGGGCCAUGUGUUAGUUGUUUUGAGUUUCUGUUGGUUUGUUAUGAGAUCUGAAUUAUUGUUGCAAUAUGUGUUCGAUUUUCUUCACGACUUUGUUUGUUUGCUAAAUCUGUUUAUCUACACUCCUAUGUUAACAUCAGUUCUCUGUUUGUUUUGUUUAUUUAACUGAAAUUUAGAUUGAAACUACUCACAAAUUUAUUUAGUGACUACUGAUAAUCAUUUAUCCUAUCAAAGCAUGCUAAUGUUAUUUCUGUUGUAGUAUAGAAUAUACAACAUACUGAAACACAGUGGUGAAACAUAAUUGGAGUUGAUGUUUUCGGGUUUAAAUGAAGCUAGAAGGAAGUGUUCAUAUCAUAUCUUCCUGUUCUGAUUAUUUUGCAUUUGCAUCUGGAAAUCUGAAGAAGAAACAUCGAGAAGGUCAUUUGUAUACUAUUUUAAUUCAUUUAGUUUAGAACUUGGAAGCCAUUUUCAUGAGUCUAAGGAUUGAAUCAGAGAGUUCGUAACAAUUUAGUUCAUCGGUUUUGUAAUUAAUCGGUGGGUUAACAAUUGUUACUUUAGUUUUCUCAAAUUGGUUGAAAUUUUUGUAACUGAUUUAUUCCUACCUAUGAUUGUGUAAGUAAUGUUAGAUCGGA